rnacentral:rRNA from 1 species
UACAGAGGUGGCAAGCGUUGGUCGGAAUUACUGGGCGUAAAGGGCGCGUAGGCGGCCUUCUAAGUCAGACGUGAAAUCCCCAGGCUUAACUUGGGAACUGCGUCUGAUACUGGGAGGCUUGAGUGCGGGAGAGGGAUGUGGAAUUCCAGGUGUAGCGGUGAAAUGCGUAGAUAUCUGGAGGAACACCGGUGGCGAAGGCGGCAUCCUGGACCGACACUGACGCUGAGGCGCGAAAGCUAGGGGAGCAAACGGG